GAGAGGAAGAUGGUUUCUUGCAAUUUAACAGCUUAACAACGGGUUUAGAGAGCAUCCCAAUGUCUACUCCCAACCCUAACCACACAUCUUCACCCCUGCCAGGUCAAAAAAUACAGAAAAGAAAGAAUCUACCACAGAUACCCUUUUAUUAGAUCAGAAGAGAGAAAGCUUGUAGACGCCUCGUGAACUCACCCCUUCCACUGCGAAGUGCCAGACCCUGGGCUGGACACUGUGGGAGAGGCCAGCUGGCUCAUCAGGGCCAGGAGGAAGCGUGGACAUCUUCCAUUCCAUGGAUCUGUUUAGCAUUUGACAGG
rnacentral:lncRNA from 1 species